rnacentral:rRNA from 1 species
CCUACGGGAGACAGCAGUGAGGAAUAUUGGUCAAUGGGCGCGAGCCUGAACCAGCCAAGUAGCGUGAAGGAUGACUGCCCUACGGGUUGUAAACUUCUUUUAUAAAGGAAUAAAGUGAGGCACGUGUGCCUUUUUGUAUGUACUUUAUGAAUACGGAUCGGCUCACUCGGUACCAGCAGCCGCGGUACUACGAAGGAUCCGAGCGUUAUCCGAAUUUAUUGGGUUUAUAGGGUGCGUGGGCGGACUGUUAAGUCAGCGGUAAAAGCCCGGGGCUCAACCCCGGCGAGCCGUUGAAACUGGCUGUCGUGAGAUGUCGAGAGGUAUGCGGAAUGCGCGGUGUAGCGGUGAAAUGCUUAGAUAUUGCGCAGAACUCCGAUUGCGAAGGCAGCAUACCGGCGGCGAUCUGACGCUGAGGCACGAAAGCGUGGGUAUCGAACAGGAUUAGAUACCCUGGUAGUC